UUUUUUGGUAGUCAAAGGGGGCUGAAAGCCCCAAAAAGAAAACAAACAGUUAUAAAUCAAUAACACAACGGGGUAAGGAGACCCCUCUCAUGUCAGCAUCUAAGAUGGAUCUCAAAUCCAUAAAAGGGGAGUCAAUGAAGCUGUACCCUGCAUCUCUCUCCUCCACACUUUUUUUUGCCAGCCAGUCUGCAGCCUGGUUACCUUCCCUAUAGCCCUUGAGUCUACUUCAAGUUCCACUCUUUUGAACCCCAAAUCCCAGGCAGUCUUCAAUGCAUAGCAUACUCCCCACAAUUCAUCUUGAAAGGCAGAACAAGUCCCUAAAUUAGCCAUGAAGCCGGCAACCCAUCUCCCCCAAUGGUCCCUUGCCAGGCCACCACAUCCUGAACCUUUUUCGUUGGACGCCCCAUCAGAAUUGAAUUUUAUCCAGCCUUCUACAGGGGGUUUCCACGCUACUUCAAUCUCCACUCUUCUUUUCUUUUGACAGAAUAACUCCUCUUUUUUGAAAGCUUCAUUUAUGGAAUUUGUUGUCUGAAAAAUAGUUGCUAUAGCGUCUAUCGGCCGUCUGAAGGGAGGAGAGAAGAUUUCACAGUUACGCCACCUCCAUAGCCACCAGCAGGGAUUAAUUAAUUGAGUCCAUAUACUUGAAGCAGCAGGACAAUCUCGCAGGACAUGGCUUUGAUCUUCCGUCAGACUAUUGCAACGAUGACAUUCAUCUCCUGUACCAAAUAAUUUUCUUCUUCUCGCACCUGUCAUCAAUUUCCUAUGCA